rnacentral:rRNA from 1 species
GAUGAACGCUGGCGGCGUGCCUAAUACAUGCAAGUCGAGCGAACGGACGAGAAGCUUGCUUCUCUGAUGUUAGCGGCGGACGGGUGAGUAACACGUGGAUAACCUACCUAUAAGACUGGGAUAACUUCGUGAAACCGGAGCUAAUACCGGAUAAUAUUUUGAACCGCAUGGUUCAAAAGUAAAAGACGGUCUUGCUGUCACUUAUAGAUGGAUCCGCGCUGCAUUAGCUAGUUGGUAAGGUAACGGCUUACCAAGGCAACGAUGCAUAGCCGACCUGAGAGGGUGAUCGGCCACACUGGAACUGAGACACGGUCCAGACGCCUACGGGAGGCAGCAGUAGGGAAUCUUACGCAAUGGGCGAAAGCCUGACGGAGCAACGCCGCGUGAGUGAUGAAGGUCUUCGGAUCGUAAAACUCUGUUAUUAGGGAAGAAAAUAUGUGUAAGUAACUGUGCACAUCUUGACGGUAACUAAUCAGAAAGCAACGGCUAACUACGUG